UGCGCUAAGGAAGAUGUGGAGGUACAGGGAUGCUGCGGAGCACUAAUUACAGCUGAGCUGUCUUGGACGGGCUGGGUGUGGAAGAAUCGUGCUGCUCCGGCCGGUCCUCGCCUCUGGAACUGCGGAAAUCCGACGGAAUUUACCGGGGUGAUUUGCAUGGGAAUUUCAAUCAAGGCAUUUGAUUCAGCUGCUGGAAUUACUGGUGCCAGUAAUCGACUGUCACGCGGAGGAGAGAAGCGAGGGACCUGUCCGCAACGACUUUUUUGAGUCUUUCACUAAGGAUUAC
rnacentral:lncRNA from 1 species